rnacentral:rRNA from 1 species
AUAGCAAUAUUUGAGUGGCGCACGGGUGAGUAACACGUAGCUAAUCUACCUCAAAGCGCGGGAUAACGUGUCGAAAGACAGGCUAAUACCGCAUAAGCUCGCGAUCUGUAGAGGGUUGCGAGAAAAGGCGCAAGUCACUUUGAGAUGAGGCUGCGGCCCAUCAGCUAGUUGGGGUGGUAAAAGCACACCAAGGCGACGACGGGUAGGGGACCUGAGAGGGUGACCCCCCACACUGGGACUGAGACACGGCCCAGACUCCUACGGGAGGCAGCAGUGAGGAAUAUUGCACAAUGGGCGCAAGCCUGAUGCAGCGACGCCGCGUGGGUGAAGAAGGUUUUCGGA